AUUGAACGCUGGCGGCAGGCCUAACACAUGCAAGUCGAACGAGCGGCGGACGGGUGAGUAAUGUCUGGGAAUCUGCCUGAUGGAGGGGGAUAACUACUGGAAACGGUGGCUAAUACCGCAUACCAUCGGAUGUGCCCAUAUGGGAUUAGCUAGUAGGUGGGGUAAAGGCUCACCUAGGCGACGAUCUCUAGCUGGUCUGAGAGGAUGACCAGCCACACUGGAACUGAGACACGGUCCAGACUCCUACGGGAGGCAGCAGUGGGGAAUAUUGCACAAUGGGCGCAAGCCUGAUGCAGCCAUGCCGCGUGUAUGAAGAAGGCCUUAGGGUUGUAAAGUACUUUCAGCGGGGAGGCGUUACCCGCAGAAGAAGCACCGGCUAACUCCGUGCCAGCAGCCGCGGUAAUUC
rnacentral:rRNA from 1 species